GGGUGCUUGAGAUACCCGGAUGUGUUGUGAUGUACGGAACAAGACUGGUUACUCGCAUCAAUGCCUCGUCAUUUAACAUUCAAACAUCUUCCUCUUCUUUAACUGAGACGUCUUUCUCUUCUUCUUUCACGCCUUCCUCUCCUCUGAGGACCCAGUGAGGCUGGAGAACAUUCAGAGAGCUGUUGAGGGACUGGUUAGGAAGAACACUUCUACAGCCAGAGAGUGGCCUGACUGCAUCCAGACUGUCAUAGGCCCAUCCUGGUAGAUCUGAACCUAAUGCAGCUUGGAGUGAUCGGAUGACAGAAGUCACAUUUAGGGGAAGUCAAGAAAUGGAACAGCAAGGCCACAGAACAUGACAUAAGCAGAGCUGUGGGAGACCACCUCAAGCCCCUGGUAGAGCCGGGGGUGGUGUUUACCACUCCCCCUAGCCUUCAGCAGGCUGGAAAAGUGGAAGAUAUACUGAAUUUAUACUGUUUUUCAUACUAAGAUGGACCAUGCACUAUAUUGACAAGGUUGAAGAUAGCAUGAAAAACAGUAUAAAUUCAGUCUAAGAUUGACCAAGAUAUAUGCCUUUGCACAUAUUUGUUUAUUGGUUUAGCAAGUCUGUUGAUUGGUUAGUCACUGGGUUCAUUUGUUUUGCAAUAUGAUCAAAUCAAGCUUUAUUUAUAUAGUACAUUUCAGACAUGGAUGCAACACAAUGGCUUCACAGGAAAAAAACAAAUAAAAAUAAACUGAAAUAUUUAGUACACAACAAACAGAAACUUAACUGAAAGACUGAGCAUUUUAAGGAAAUGUCAUUGAAAUAUUCGAUGCAACAUCCAACACAAUAUAUACGUUUGUUUAAUUCCAUUGUUUGUUACAUUCUCCAUUGAGAACCAACAAACUAAAGUCAAACUAAAUGUUACAUGAAUUGUAAAUAUGAAAUAUCAAAAGCAAAUGUGAUUGGUGAGGCAUGGAAUAAUAAAACGUAUCUUUGUCAGGCUGAA